CUUGGAUUUCUGUUAUUUUUAGGGGAAGAGGAAGAUGAUCUAUGUUUCUACUUCAUUAAACUACAUAUUAUGAAGGUUAGGUUAUUGUAAGUUUUUUCAAGUGUUUGGGUGAUGAUGAAUAAAUGGACUAGAAGAUUUUCCCAAAUGCCGGAAGAAGUUAGAGGGGAAAUAGAACCUUAUUUUAUCGAGCAUGCUGCUAUCUUGGAUGAGGACAGCCGAAAACUGCCAAAGCUUAAUGAUAACUCUGCGGAUUACAAGAGGCGACAGUGAGCAUAUAAUUUCUUCUAUUUCCUUUUUUCCUUUUUUGUCAAGUGGUCAGUAUACACUGUGUAUCAUCUGUGUUUGGGUAAACCAUAUUGUUUGGGUAAACCAUAUUCCGACAAUAUGAUUGGUAUUGGAAACAUUUGAAAAUCAUGUAUGCUCCCAGUGAUUUUAUAUUAGAUUUUGAUUUCCUUCAAA